rnacentral:misc_RNA from 1 species
GUUUUCAAAGGUCAAAGCUUGCAAGGAAGCCGGAAAGACAUACGUAUAUGGGCAACCACCAUUUCUCUCUAAAAUGGACGGUUCAGAUGGGUUGAUGCAACUCUAAAUAUAUACUUCUGCACAUAAAGGUAAACGAGAAAAUGGUGUUUUUUUAAGAAAAAAAUAUUUUCAUUAAUGGCAUUCAUAUUUCUACUCGAAAUUGAUCAGUCUAAUAAAAGAAGUAGAUCAAAGAGAUUUUUUUUUUUUAAAUAGAAUGAAUAUAUCCGUAAAUUGAGCUUAUUUUUAUUGCAAA